AGACUCCGUCUCAAAACAAAAACAAAAACAAAAUCAAAAACAAAACAAAAAACAAAUAAACAAACAAAAAACUUGGGUUUAUCUCUGUGUGUCCUUGGAAAAGUAAUCUUUCUGUGCUUCAGUUUCCUCAUCUGUAAAAUGGUGAUAAUAAUACUGGAAUGCCUACUGCAUAGGGGUAUUGUGAGAAUUAAAUGAGUUAAUACAAGCAGAAUAUUUAGAAUGCUGCUCUGCAAUAUUAGGGGUGGUGUACGUUUUUUUAAUGAUAAAGAUGGUGAUCCACAGAUGAUGAACUUGAUGGGUGGACAGAGAGAGUGUGCUGUCCUGUUCUGAUUUUAGGAAAAAAAAAGAAAAAAGGACAAUUAUUAUUAUGCAUAUAUACAUAUUUUAAGGUAUAUUAAAGGGACAGUGACAACUAGGGAACUUAGAGAUGGAUGACCUGUGGGAGCGGGUGUGAAACGUGAAAAGCAGUGUAUCACAUAUUAAUGACCUCCAGAGAACACCUACUACAGAAGAUGAAUUAAGCAACCAAGUAGACAGAGCGGCCAGGCUAGCUGACAUCAGCUAGUCACGAUCACUGCCCACCUUAGCACUGGCAUGACUGGCCCAUGAACAGAGUAGGCAUGGUUGUAGGGAUAGAGGCCGUGCAUGAACCCAACAGAAGGGGCUCCCACUCACCAAGGCUGAUCUAGUUGCUGAAUGUACAGUUUACUAGCCAGAGACUAGUAAAUGCUGCACCCCGGGGGCUGGUACUCAAGGAUACCAAUCAACCACUUGGCGGUAAGUCGGCUACAUCAGAACUCUUCUA
rnacentral:lncRNA from 1 species